ACUCCGGUUUCAUGGAUUCCCAGUCCAGCUGCGUGAUGGUGACUGGUUUCGGGCCCUUCCGGCAGCACCUGGUGAAUUCCAGCUGGGAAGCAGUAAAGGUAAAAACCCUCUAAGCCCAGACCCAGGAGCGCACGAUCCAGCUGGUUCCUUCUGUGGUUCUGAGAAAAUCCAGCACGUAGGCUCCUUGGUGACCAGAUCCACACGGGAGGGGAGAAAACACACACUGGGUGCGCGGGGACACGAGCUAGCUUUUUGUCCUUGGGUUGUGACUCACCUGCCCAUAGGGGGCCCAUCUGGCUCAGUGGUAAAGAAAACAGGCUGGAGGGACACCCCUGGGAAGGAUGGGGAGUGGCCCAGGAAGGCUCUGCUGCCCUGAGAGCUGAGAACCCCUUCUGGCUGUGGAGUGUCGGGAAAGUCACUGCCCCCAGCCCUGGUGUUCUCAUUCAUGACACGGGCGAAUAAUAGUGCUGAUGUUACAGGGUCGUUCUGAGGAGUAAAAGAGGUAGGUGUGUGAAGCAAGUAAGUCUGUAAAAGCAGCUUUUUUAAAGCAUAGUGCCUGGCACAGGGUAAGAGCUUAAUACAUGGUUAUAAUUAUAAACAACAUGGCUUCAUUUUUAAGAAAGCAGCCAGGAGAGAGCAUGUCCUCAGACAGGGCGUGAAGAGGGGUCUCAUCCGUAGAACAGAGCUCUCCUCCCUGAAGCAAUUGCCCCACUCCUACCAGUCCCUACACGGUGUCAUUUAGAGGCUCAGAGCACAGCUGGCUACUUAUUCACACUUGACCAUCAAUUUCAUGCUUCUGUUGGAUCAAGCCAAAGGUAGGAUCUUGAGUCUGUUCUCAGAGUUACCCAGUCAAGCUGAAAAUGCAGCAAAACCACUUGAAUCGUGCGUUUGCAGCCACUGUAGCAUUCAUUUUUUAGCCUGUCCACACAGACGCGGUCAAGGAAACUCUCCACUCUUGAGUUAGAACUUGGGUUUUUUUCAACCCGCAAAAAAACUCAGAGAACCCCAGACUCACUGCCAAGACUCACUGCUGCACACAACAUGCCAGAAAGGCCAGGUCAGGGCUUUAUGAGUUCCUGGGUGUUUGUAGCCAGUUCCUCGAAAAACAGGACUUUUUCUGCUGAAUCCCAAAUGGGCCCUGAGUCCUUCUUUUUGUGCCUCAGUUUUCUUAUCUGUAAAAUGGGAAGGUUGUGAUGACUACAGGAAUUAACACACAUAAAGCCCUCAGAGCAUGGCAGGGCAACUGCUGGUUCUCACAAAUUUCAUUCUUAUUACUAAGAAGCUAUUCUACCAGUCAGUUUUCUCAGUUGUGGGCAAAUAGAAUUGGACUUUGGAGAUCCACACAGGAAAUGGAAUGAGGGAGGGGAUUAUUUUGUAGACUCAAGAUUCACAAUAAAGCUGGAGAAUCAGGGCAGAAGGGCAGAAACAGCAGGCCGGGGGUUUCCAGGAAGAGGUAGUAGAAUGGCAAACUAGGUGCUCUGAGCAUCCCUUCCCCUGUAGAUAAACUAGAUAAGAUAGAACUUCUGUGCAUUGCUGGACAGGUAGUAGUAAAGGAAAGCCCAUAUACGUCAUGCCAUGCACAGAAAUACAUCACACAUACCCAGGGCUGCAGCCUGAAGGGGUGAAGGUCAGCACCCCCACCCUAACACACAAAAGGCAGGGGGGCACGUGCCAUUAUCAACAUUGUUUUUAGCAAAGGGGAUAGAAUGAAACCAAGGCUCUUACUGUAAGCCAGACCCUUGAAAGGAGAUCCUGUGGUCUCUAGCACCCCUGACUCCCAGCAAAGCAUAUGCAAUUUCUCUUGAGGAUUUAAAACCUUAGAUUUUCCACAAACUAAGAUAAACUAAACAUUUAUUUCCAAUCAAAGAUCACCAAAUAUUCAAAGAAACAAACUACCCUCAGUAAGAAUGAGCAGAAGCAGAUUUAGAACCUCAAAAACUUGUUCUAAAUCAUUCUGCUAGAUAUUAUCAGAAAAUAACAUAAUUAUAUAUGGAAUGCUUGAAGAAGUAAUGAUAAAAUCACAAAAACUAUCAAAAGAUUAGGCAAAUUGAAAAAGGGAGCAAUAGAGCUUAUAGAAAUUUAAAACACAAUUGUUGAAGUGAAGAAUUUAACAGAUGACUUAAAAGACAGUUUAGAAUUAUGCUAAGUGAAAGAUGCCACUCACCAAAGACCACAUAUUAUAUGAUUACAUUUAGAUGAAUGUCCAGAUGAAGCAAAUCUAUUGAGACAUAAAGUAGAUUAGUGGUUGCCUAGGGCAGGUGAGUGGGGGAUUGGGGGAAAUAGGGAGUGACUGUUAACGGGUAUGGGUUUUUUUUAAGGUUGAUGAAAAGGUUCUAAAAUUGACUGUGGUGAUGGUUGCACAACUCUGUGAAUAUACUAGAAGGCAAUGAAUUAUAGACUUUAAAUGGGUAAAUUGUAUGGUAUGUGAAAUACAUGUAAAUGGCAGUUUAGAAACAGAUAAGAAAAAUUAAUGAACUAGAAGAUAGCUCUGAUGAUAUUGUUUAAAGGGCAGCAUAAAGAGAUGGACAAUGAAAUGAAAAAAAAUUAAGAAAUAUGGAUAAUAAAAUGAGAUAUUUGAACAUAUGUUUAUUUGGAGUUCCAUAAGGAGAGAAUGAAUGAAAUAAAGCACUAGCCAAAGAGGUAAUGGUUGAGACUAUUGCAGAAUUGGAUGAAAGACAUAAAUCCACAGAGAUAAGAAGUAUAAAAUAUACCAAGCAAAAACAAAUAAAAUCAAUACAUAUACACAUCAUAGUAAAACUGCAGAAAACCAAAGACAAGGAGAUUUGAAAGUAGUCAGGGAAAAAGACAGGUCACCUACAAAAGACAAUACAAUUAGACUGAGAGUAAACUUUUCAAAAACAACAAUAAAAGCUAGAAAACAGUGGAGUAACAUCAUCAAAAUGCUGGAAAAAUAUUGUCAACCUGAAAUUGCAUACCGAGCAAAAUUAUUUUUCAGAACAAGGAUGAAAUGAAGACAUUUUCAUUAAAGCAAGCAUCAAGAGUUUACUACCAGCAGGCACAACCCUAAAGGAACAUGUAAAGGAUAUCAUUCAGAAGGAAGGAAAAUUAUCCCAGAAAGAUGGUGUGAGAUGCAAAGAGGAAUUGUGAGCCCAAAGGUAAAAUCUAAACUAGCAUUAUUUAUUAAUAAUGAUAAUAAUAAUAAAUGGCUAAUUGUAAGUUUAAAAAUAAAGGAUUGAACUAAAAUAUAGGACAA
ensembl:lncRNA